GGAUCACUUUGGCUCAGGAUGAACGCUAGCGGCAGGCCUAACACAUGCAAGUCGAGGGGCAGCACGUUAAAGAGUUUACUCUUUAUGGUGGCGACCGGCGGACGGGUGCGUAACGCGUAUGCAACCUGCCUGACACAGGGGGAUAAUCCGAAGAAAUUUGGUCUAAUACCCCAUAAUACCGAUAUAGGCAUCUAUGUUGGUUGAAAGCUUUGGUGGUGUCAGAUGGGCAUGCGUUGUAUUAG
rnacentral:rRNA from 1 species